AGGUACAUGCCCUUGACCGGAAUCGAACCUGGGACCUUUCAGUCCGCAGGCCGACGCUCUAUCCACUGAGCCAAACCGGUUUCGGCAAUAAUUCUUGUUAAGCUAAAAGUAAUACUGAUUUUGUUAGCUUUACACAAGGUUAAGGCAUGUAAAGAGUGGGGACUUCUAAGGAAUUUUCUCCUCAAAAGAACUUAUUGAAGGAACAUUUCAAUCACUCAAAGACUAAUUUUGGUUGAAGUUUAUUAUCUAGCCACCUCUGCUUUUUGUUUUUGCUGUUUUGACAGUUCACCAAUACCUUCAGCAGUUUAGAGGGUAAGUAGUUGAAACUGGAAGUGACAUUUAAAUUUUAAUUUAUUUAGGUAGGAAAAGAGGUUGAACUUAGAACUUUUGGUUCUUCAUGUGGCCUAUGUUCACAUCUUACAGAUCGUGUGUUCUCACUCAGGAUUCGGGGAGUAUUAAGCCUUCUUUAACGUGCUGGAUAGAUCUUGAGGAGGACUUCUUGUAGGCAGCUGCUCAGCUGUUUUAUUGUCGAAGAACAACUGUAGAAGGAAGCACCAUUAAAUUGCUUAACUGAAAGUGAGCAGCACUGAGGACGACUUCCUGCACCUUUGUAGUUAAGGGUUCAUCUUCUCGAGAUAAAGUUGUGAUGGAGUACUUGCACUCUGUGAUUCCCCAGAAAUGUAGGCAUCAAGCCCUAGGAUCAUAGCAGCCACCUGGCAGGCCUCUGGAAAUGCUGGGGAGAUUGCAUCCUCUUUGAGCAGUGUUGGCUCAUGUUUAUGUUUUUCUGAAUCUAAAGAUACAAAGAGAUUCUAAUACCUCGUUGCAGUCUUCUUUUCUUCCCAUACAUAAUUUAAAUCUCAUUAUUAUAUAAUGCUUCGAAUGAUGCCCUUGACUGAAGGAAGUUUGCUGUUUUCUCAAAGACUUUCUGUUACCGAACAUUAGAAUCUCUACUAAAACAAAACUGAAAGAAAAGGCAGCCUUGGAAUUUCUUAGAUGAAUGCUUUUUGGAGCUUAGAAAGGCUAUUUAGAUGUAUGUAAUGCACCCAUUUUUAUUCUUUUAAGUAAAUUUUGAUUUUUUUAAAAAAUUGAAAUAUUGGCUUCUAUCAGCCUGACUUAAUUAUAGAGUAAACCAAUUUCCCCUCUGAAAGCUGAUAAAUAAAAUUCAUUGUUGCUAUAGAUGUGAACUUAGGGGUUAAAUGUGGAUAUUCUCAAAGGUGUGAGGCUUGUUUCAGGAAGAAUGUUAAUGCUCCCUUUGCAAUCAGUCAUGCAGAGCCCAAUUUGGGGUUGCAGAAUAUGACUUCAGUGGAAGCCAAGGUUUUUCAUAAUGCACUGUGGUCAGGUCUAGCACAAAUUCUCUGUGUGCUGGUUGAAGAAACACAAUUCAAAGGCAAUAAACUAGGAAUUAGAAAUGUUUUUUUUUCCAUAAUCAUACCAGCAAAUAAAUAAAAUGUUAUUUUAAGUAUUUCCAGUUGUAAUCCUGUUUCAUUUCUCUCUGCUUUUGAGAUAUUUAUUACUAAAUACUAUUUUAGGAAAAAUUCACAGAAAUAACAGAUGAAUAUUAUCUGUGAUAUCUGCAGAUUUGACUUAUAUAGCUAACAUAUUGUGUGCUGGAUUUUUAACAAUGACAUGACAUAUAUGAGCGUUUCAGUUUACAGAAUUUGAAGUUCUAUUGUAAUGUUUAAGUAUCCAAACUUCCAUUUAGAUAACUGAGGUACCUUUUUAGAGUUACAAUAGUUAGACCCACAUUUCCUUCUUUUUAUGGUAUUAGCCUCAUGCAUCUGUACAAAAAUUUAUAAUACAGUGUUUCAUAGUUUUUGUACUGAGAUAUUUCCUAUAUUAACAUUUUAUAGUAUAUUCUUAAUCUCCUUUGGCUAGUGAAUUAAAGCUGAAUUUGUCUAAUA